GAACACCCGUCUAAAGAGGAGCAGUAAUCGUCCAAUUCGCCAUCAGAUUCUUCAUUUUCCUCAUCAGACACCACAUAAUCCUCAUCUGAAUCAUCGGAAACUUUAUCAGCCGAUCUACCUCUAUUUUUGAAAUUGCUUUUGCAACUAACCUUCCCUCUCCUCCCCAUCUGUCUUGCACCCAGACACAAGGCCAAAACACCAAAUAUCAACCCAAAUUCAGACCCAAUAAAUAUCAAAUAUUCGUUGAACUCAGGAAUCAAUACCAAAUCAAAUCUGCAUCAAUAAAAAUAAAUUCCAGGAUUGCUCAAUCCCCCUCUUCCCCUCUUAUUUCUUGCUUAGGCUCUACUCAAAUCAAAUCGGGUAUUCACAUUAAUAGAAACCUUGCAUGGCAAAACAAUAAAAACCUCUUUAUACCCAAUAUUCCUCGCCACCCGAUCUGUAUUAACAAGGCAAACCACAAUCUAAAAAAACCAAACCAGAACAUAAACAAAAUAUUACCCAAAGCCCCUUUCCCAUUCCAAAUUCGUUUUGCCUCUGAUUUAAAGAACAUUAAAAUAUACCAUUUCCGCACCCAUUCCCCCAGCUAAAUUCACCAACAGACACACAGAAAUCAUCACCGAAUUUCCAAAUUUAUAAACAAAUUAAUUAUUAAAAAAAUUUCUACCCACCGCUCGUUAAUUAUUAAAAAAAUUAAAAAAAAAAUCUAGCACAAACAACACAUACAUCUAUCACAAACAACACAUACAUAUAUUUUAAAAAUAAAAAACACCGGAGAGAGAAAGUUGGUACCUGAGAGGAGGAGGAGCAGGAGGAGGAAGAAGAAGAAGAAGAAUAAAGCAGCGAAAAUAAUUUUGGUUUUCGUGACAUUUUCUUUAUUUCCCCCCCCCCCCCUGAUAUAAACGUUUUCUCGUUUCGGCUGU
rnacentral:lncRNA from 1 species